CAGUAGCCACGGUAAUACGAAGGGUGCAAGCGUUACUCGGAAUUACUGGGCGUAAAGCGUGCGUAGGCGGUGAGUUAAGUCUGCUGUGAAAUCCCCGGGCUCAACCUGGGAAUGGCAGUGGAUACUGGCUCGCUAGAGUGUGUCAGAGGAUGGUGGAAUUCCCGGUGUAGCGGUGAAAUGCGUAGAGAUCGGGAGGAACAUCAGUGGCGAAGGCGGCCAUCUGGGACAACACUGACGCUGAGGCACGAAAGCGUGGGGAGCAAACAGGAUUAGAUACCCCAGUAGUCCCUGUCUCUUAUAC
rnacentral:rRNA from 1 species